rnacentral:rRNA from 1 species
GAUGAACGCUGGCGGCGUGCCUAAUACAUGCAAGUCGAGCGAACAGAUGAGGAGCUUGCUCCUCUGACGUUAGCGGCGGACGGGUGAGUAACACGUGGAUAACCUACCUAUAAGACUGGGAUAACUUCGGGAAACCGGAGCUAAUACCGGAUAAUAUAUUGAACCGCAUGGUUCAAUAGUGAAAGACGGUUUUGCUGUCACUUAUAGAUGGAUCCGCGCCGCAUUAGCUAGUUGGUAAGGUAACGGCUUACCAAGGCAACGAUGCGUAGCCGACCUGAGAGGGUGAUCGGCCACACUGGAACUGAGACACGGUCCAGACUCCUACGGGAGGCAGCAGUAGGGAAUCUUCCGCAAUGGGCGAAAGCCUGACGGAGCAACGCCGUGUGAGUGAUGAAGGUCUUCGGAUCGUAAAACUCUGUUAUUAGGGAAGAACAAAUGUGUAAGUAACUAUGCACGUCUUGACGGUACCUAAUCAGAAAGCCACGGCUAACUACGUA